GCAUCCGUAGCUCAAUUGGAUAGAGCACCGGUCUUCGGAACCGGGGGUUGGGGGUUCGAAUCCCUCCGGGUGUA
rnacentral:tRNA from 1 species